rnacentral:rRNA from 1 species
AGAACGAACGCUGGCGGCAGGCUUAGGCAUGCAAGUCGAACGGAUGAUAAGAGAGCUUGCUACGUCUUAAAGUCAGUGGCGCACGAGUGAGUAACGCGUGGGAAACUGCCCUUCACUGGGGAAUAACGUUUGGAAACGAACGCUAAUACCGCAUACGGCCCGCAAGGGGAAAGAUUUAUCGGUGAUGGAUGUGCCCGCGUUGGAUUAGCUAGUUGGUGGGGUAAUGGCCUACCAAGGCGAUGAUCCAUAGCUGGUCUGAGAGGACGAUCAGCCACGCUGGAACUGAGACACGGUCCAGACUCCUACGGGAGGCAGCAGCUAAGAAUAUUGGGCAAUGGAGGAAACUCUGACCCAGCCCAUGCCGCGUGAAUGAAGAAGGCCUUCGGGUUGUAAAGUUCUUUUAGUCAUGAAGAUGAUGACAGUAGUGACAGAAAAAGCACCGGCUAACUUCGUGCCAGCCGCUGC